GAUGAACGCUGGCGGCGUGCCUAAUACAUGCAAGUCGAGCGAACAGACGAGGAGCUUGCUCCUCUGACGUUAGCGGCGGACGGGUGAGUAACACGUGGAUAACCUACCUAUAAGACUGGGAUAACUUCGGGAAACCGGAGCUAAUACCGGAUAAUAUAUUGAACCGCAUGGUUCAAUAGUGAAAGACGGUUUUGCUGUCACUUAUAGAUGGAUCCGCGCCGCAUUAGCUAGUUGGUAAGGUAACGGCUUACCAAGGCAACGAUGCGUAGCCGACGUGAGAGGGUGAUCGGCCAAACUGGAACUGAGACACGGUCCAGACUCCUACGGGAGGAAGCAGUAGGGAAUCUUCCGCAAUGGGCGAAAGCCUGACGGAGCAACGCCGCGUGAGUGAUGAAGGUCUUCGGAUCGUAAAACUCUGUUAUUAGGGAAGAACAAAUGUGUAAGUAACUAUGCACGUCUUGACGGUACCUAAUCAGAAAGCCACGGCUAACUACGUG
rnacentral:rRNA from 1 species